UUCUGGGAGGAUUGACAGAUUGAGAGCUCUUUCUUGAUUUAGAGAAUGGUGGUGCAUGUCCGUUCUUAGUUGGCGGAGCGAUUUGCCUGGUUAAUUCCGAUAACGAACGAGACUCUAGCCUAUUAAAUAGGUGCGUGGUUCUCUGCACCUUGCACCCUUCUUAGAGGUACAAACAACUCCUAGCCGCACGAAACAGAGCAGGUCUGUGAUGCCCUUAGAU
rnacentral:rRNA from 1 species